rnacentral:rRNA from 1 species
ACUCCUACGGGAGGCAGCAGUGGGGAAUUUUGGACAAUGGGCGAAAGCCUGAUCCAGCAAUGCCGCGUGAGUGAAGAAGGCCUUCGGGUUGUAAAGCUCUUUUGUCAGGGAAGAAACGGUGAGAGCUAAUAUCUCUUGCUAAUGACGGUACCUGAAGAAUAAGCACCGGCUAACUACGUGCCAGCAGCCGCGGUAAUACGUAGGGUGCAAGCGUUAAUCGGAAUUACUGGGCGUAAAGCGUGCGCAGGCGGUUUUGUAAGUCUGAUGUGAAAUCCCCGGGCUCAACCUGGGAAUUGCAUUGGAGACUGCAAGGCUAGAAUCUGGCAGAGGGGGGUAGAAUUCCACGUGUAGCAGUGAAAUGCGUAGAUAUGUGGAGGAACACCGAUGGCGAAGGCAGCCCCCUGGGUCAAGAUUGACGCUCAUGCACGAAAGCGUGGGGAGCAAACAGGAUUAGAAACCCUGGUAGUCCCA